rnacentral:snRNA from 1 species
UUUCAAUUAGUUGUAGAUUAGAGU